UUUUUUUUUUUUUUUUUUUGUCCUUUUAAGCAAAAAAUAAGCAAACUCAGUCUAGAAGACCCUGAAGACAGAAAUGGCAUCUCGGCUUCUUCCCAUUAUCCCCCCGGAGGCCUGGUGGCUGUCUCCCUGAGUCCCCAGCGGCUGGCACCGUCAUGGAAAGGCCCGGCUGGGGGACUUGCCGGACCAGCUGUUGCAUAAACAGCGAGCAACUUCAGACAGACUGGAAAAUCAGGCGCCACUUCAAAGGCACAGUGACAGGCGGCAACGCUGGUGGGAGCAUGGAGGUGGCCUCCCCUGACGACCAGCCGGGAGCAGGAGGCUGGACUCGCUGUGGUGUUCUCACUGAGAAACAGCAGACCAAAGGACGGGUAUUGCCUCCCCCACCAGCAGGAAGCUGUUACAAUAUUUGUGAACCUGUGAGCUCCAGGGAGCCAGAGGAGCCCGCUUGGGAGAGCCGAAGCAGGACAAAGGAGCACUGACUGGGGCCUGGGACAGGCAGGCCUGAUGCUUCCCAAAGCCAGGCUUCACCUGCACAGUCAAGGGCCUUGGGUAGGAGGCCAUGUGGCCAGAGUUCAGCAUGGCCCUGCCCAGCUCCCAGCCCACAUACCAAGCCCCAUCCCUGUGCCAGACAGUAUGUAGGGCACAGCAAACCUUGGGGGCAGGUGAGGAGAAGCUGAACACACUGGCCCCCGUGAGGCAGCAGGAAGCCCUCUGCAAAGGUUGGAACAGAGCAAAAAUAUUGAAGUGUGUGUGUGUGUGUGCACUGUGUGUACGUGUGUGUGCACCCACAUGGUGGUGUCUUUUAGCAGGACCUAUUUCGUGCUCACACCUUGUGAGAGGUUCACUCAUUCGGCCUCGGGCCCCCUUUCACCCCCAGCUCUUUCUGUAAGUCACUAAGGCCACCUGCCUCCUGGCUCCGUGGGUUCUCCAGCCCGCCCCGCCCACAAUCUCUGUCCUCCCGCUCUUCCUCCUUCUCCAAUCACAGGGACAUUGGAGUGAGGCAACUCCAGAUAUGUCCCAUCACUUCCGGGCAGUGUGGCCUUAGACAAGGGACUGCACCUCUUUGAGCCUCAGCUUUCCCGUCUGUAAAAUGGGACGCAUGGCUCCACCUUCAUGGAGAGAUGGAGGUAUGCAGAGCUUCAAGUUCAUGCCUGGCGCACAAGAGCCCUCCACAUACACAAGCCCUUCCCUCCUGCUUUCCCCACCACCCUCCAUCCUCUUCUCGCCUCUCCUCAUCUUUGUUCCUUCCCAGCCCCUCUCUGUGCCUCUGUUUUUCCAUCUGUAAAAUGGAAAUAAUGCUACUUAUCUUCAAGGCUGGUGGUGAAGAUUAGGGAAGAGAUGUUUAAGUAGGGCCUGUGGUUUCAUCACUCACUGGCGGUGCCAUCCUCAUCAUCCUGAUGUCUCCAUGCCUGGCACAUAAACGGAAGUGGUUACUACUGAACGGGGAGGGGUGCUGCGUGUGUGUGUAACUGUUUGCAUUCAUCUUAAGUGUACCUUUGGCUUUUGCAUCAAAUGGCUUAUGAUACAGGUGUACGCCCAUGAAACCACCACCUGAAUAAAAAAUGUAGAGCAUCUCCAGCACCCCAGAAUGUUCCCUAUCCCAGUCACCACCUCCCUUCCACCAGCAGAGGUAACCACUGUUCUGAUCACUGAUACAGCCAAAGUUGCAGGGAAGAGAAUAGACUGAAUGGGCAAAGGGCAGCAGAGGACCAAGCCUGGGGUAUCCAAGGCAGGGAUGCUAUGGUGGACAUUUGGGGGUGGUGGGAUGAUGAUAAGCUUAAGGUCUCAGGGGACCCCUUCUCUAGGAGCCUCCUGCUGCCAGAGAGAGAGGCAGGAAGGCUGCCUUGUGGCUCAUGGUCACACGCGUCUGGGGCCUCUGGGCUGGACCGGCCCAGCACAGCCGAGACUCGGGCAGCUGCUGCCCCCAGCCCUUUGAUGUGACAGAGAUG
ensembl:lncRNA